GACGAACGCUGGCGGCGUGCUUAACACAUGCAAGUCGUACGGUAAGGCCCUUUCGGGGGUACACGAGUGGCGAACGGGUGAGUAACACGUGAGUAACCUGCCCACAACUUUGGGAUAACGCUAGGAAACUGGUGCUAAUACUGGAUAUGUGCUCCUGCUGCAUGGUGGGGGUUGGAAAGCUCCGGCGGUUGUGGAUGGACUCGCGGCCUAUCAGCUUGUUGGUGGGGUAGUGGCCUACCAAGGCGGCGACGGGUAGCCGGCCUGCGAGGGUGACCGGCCACAUUGGGACUGAGGUACGGCCCAGACUCCUACGGGAGGCAGCAGGGGGGAAUAUUGCACCAUGGGCGCAAGCCUGAUGCAGCAACGCCGCGUGCGGGAUGACGGCCUUCGGGUUGUAAACCGCUUUCAGCAGGGACGAAGCUUUUUGUGACGGUACCUGCAGAAGAAGCACCGGCUAACUACGUG
rnacentral:rRNA from 1 species